CCCCCAACAUUGGGACUGAGAUACUGCCCAGACACCUACGGGUGGCUGCAGUCGAGAAUCUUCGGCAAUGGGCGCAAGCCUGACCGAGCGACGCUGCGUGUAGGAAGAAGGCCUUCGGGUUGUAAACUACUGUCGUGUGGGAAAAUCAAUGAUGGUACCACACAAGAAAGGGGUUGCUAACUCUGUGCCAGCAGCAGCGGUAAUACAGAGACCCCGAGCGUUAGCCGGAAUUAUUGGGUGUAAAGGGUUCGUAGGCGGAAGCGUGCGUCUGUUGUGAAAUCGUGAGGCUCAACCUCACGGCGUGCAGUGGAUACGGCGCUUCUCGAGGUAGGAAGAGGUAGACGGAACUUAUGGUGGAGCAGUGAAAUGCGUUGAUAUCAUAGGGAACACCAAUUGCGAAGGCAGUCUACUGGUCCUGUCCUGACGCUAAAGGAACGACAGCGUGGGGAGCGAAGCGGAUUAGAUACCCGCGUAGUCCACGCCGUAAACGAUGCCAACUAGGCAUUGGGAGAAUCGACCCUCUCAGUGUCGUAGCUAACGCGUUAAGUUGGCCACCUGGGUAGUACGGCCGCAAGGCUAAAACUCAAAGGAAUUGACGG
rnacentral:rRNA from 1 species